rnacentral:ncRNA from 1 species
AGAGAUCUUCGGGGUAAGGUGAAAUUCCUGACCGGCGGUGAUUGCCGACAAUAGUCAGCAGCAGCCCGCGACUCACUGCUUUGUUUAUCAAGCAGAUGACUGAUCUGGUGCAAAUCCAGAGCCGACGGUAAAGUCCGGAUGGGAGAAGAUCAAU